AGCGAUAGCGAACAAGUACCGUGAGGGAAAGGUGAAAAGAACCGCAGUGAGCGGAGUGAAAUAGAACCUGAAACCAUCUGCUUACAAUCAUUCAGAGCCCU
rnacentral:rRNA from 1 species